CGUCAUAAAAGCUUCAUAUUUCAAUAUGGCCGAAGGUUUGUUUACUAUUUUAAUGCGAAUUUUGAUAAUAACUACAGUUUCAGCAAUAGAAAAUAUAAAUGAUACAGCAGUACAAAACAAUUUUAAAGCCGGCCAACUCAUUGACGACUCUCCCAAUCGCCUAUUGGACGCUCCUUUAGCGAAGUCUAGCACAAACUCGCAGUCAAGUACGUCACUACCAAUGAACGAGUUCUUCCAUCAAUUAUCAUAUCCACUGUCUCGAUCAAAAAGAGAAAAAAGAAGAUUUUCGUUGUCGAGGAAUUCGAAUUUUUUUCGACGAAAUGAAAAUUCUUGGGAAAGUCGAAGUAAAGAUAAGUCGAAUUCUGACAAGGAAAGUCAAAAACAGGACAAGCGAAUGAAAGAAUUGGAAACGGAAAUAAGAAAAGUCGAACAAGAUAAACAUAAACUUAAUGAACGUAUAAAAAAGCAUGGACCUUCGAAAUCGAAUGAAAAAGAAGAAAAAACGCUAGAUUCCAAGCUGAAGAGGCUACUUGAAGAGAAAAAUAAACUCGAAAGGGGAAAAACAGUAUCUGCCGUGGACGACAGAUGCCUGACGAACCCGUGUAAAAACGGAGGGACAUGUAAACAACAACCAAAUGAAAGUAGCAAAUUUGUCUGCAUUUGCCAUGUUGCAAACCGCGGCAAUUAUUGCCAAGACAAGACACAAAUAUGUUCCGCACUGAAGUGUGGCAGGAUCAAAGACUGUGUGUUCUCACCCUCGGGAACGCACUGCAUCUGUGAGGGAAUUCCACCCAACAAUGAUCAGUCCUGUAUGUCGGACAAGAAGCCCCAGUCGAAGAUAGGUACCGGUUGCUCAAAUCUUGGGACAUCGGAACAAAACAACGGACUUCACAGGCCUGUUGUAGACCAGUCGCAGACAGUGGAAUCUAAUAAGAAGAAGAGCACCACCAAGCAGUUGAUUGUAGGAAUCCUCGUUGUUAUUGUUAUCCUCGUGAGUGCCACGUGCUGCUUGUGCAUAAAAGCGAACAACAAACAGCGUGCACUCGAGAAACUGUACGUAGAGGCUCUUGACCAGGACUACAUGCCACCGGAAGAGCCCCCCGAGAUGUCGGGGGUGUGCAUGGAUGUCGUCAAGACGACCUGCUGUUGCGCCAAGUCGUCCUACCCUGACUCGUAUCUACCUCUGAAUCCUCAAUAGACAGGCGUUAUCUUGGUCCGUAUUCAUGUGAUCACCGUUCUAGGCAUUCUGGGCUUAAUGCAUGUGGGUGAUCGCCUCUGUUGCUCAAACGUACGGACAAACACACACAGUCAAACAUGGAAACCACGCUCUACCACCAUGCCAAUGGUCAAGGAAUUAUAACAUUACGAAAUACUUUGUUUACAAUUUCUCGCACAUCAUGUCGAUGACUUCCAUUACGUCCGUAAAGUUGUUAAAAAUUACGAUAGUUUUUUAUUGUGAUGUAAAAGCAUGCACAUGUAUUUUGUAAUUAAAUGACUGAAUUGAUAUUGAAAGGUAUAUUCAUUCGGUGCAGUAGAUAAAUGUUAAUGUUGUCA